GGUGAACGCUGGCGGCGUGCCUAAUACAUGCAAGUCGAGCGGACGGACGAGAAGCUUGCUUCUCUGAUGUUAGCGGCGGACGGGUGAGUAAGGCGUGGAUAAGCUACUUAUAUGACGGGGAUAACUUCGGGAAACCGGAGCUAAUACCGGAUGAUAUUUUGUACCGCAUGGUUCAAAAGUGAAAGGCGGCCUUGCUGUCUCUUAUAGAUGGAUCCGCGCUGCAUUAGCUAGUUGGUAAGGUAACGGCUCACCAAGGCAACGAUGCAUAGCCGACCUGAGAGGGUGAUCGGCCACACUGGAACUGAGACACGGUCCAGACUCCUACGGGAGGCAGCAGUAGGGAAUCUUCCGCAAUGGGCGAAAGCCUGACGGAGCAACGCCGCGUGAGUGAUGAAGGUCCUCGGAUCGUAAAACUCUGUUAUUAGGGAAGAACAUAUGCGUAAGUAACUGUGCACAUCCUGACGGUACCUAAUCAGAAAGCCACGGCUAACUACGUG
rnacentral:rRNA from 1 species